CUGUUGCCGGGUGACGGGCCGGGCGGGGACCAGCCCUCCGGCGGCCCCUCUGAGUUCCCUGCUCUUGCUGGCAUUCACUGAGUGCCCGCUAAGUGCCGGGCGCCGUGCCCCAGGCUGCCGAACAGGACGGUGGAAGUCCAGCGAAGGCGGACCAGAAUCAGACGGCCCAGACACGCGUGAAACCACACCUGAGCGGGAGGCCAGUGUAUUCACAGACUUGUGCAGCCGUCACCACCGUCUCAGUAGGGAACGCGUCGUCACCCCCAGAAGAAACCCUGUACCCGCGAGCGGUCACUCUGCACCCCCCCCCCCCCCCCCCUGGUGACCACGAAUCCACCGUCCGUCUCCCUGGAUUCACUUGCCUGUCCUGACGCUCGAUGGAAAUGGAAUUACACACGCAGCGGUCUCUCGUGCUUUGUUCCUUCCGCUCGGUGCAAAGUCGUCAGGUUCACCCGUGCUGUGCUAUGGCCCGGUACUGCACCGCUUCUUACGGUGAGAGGCUGGUUCCUUCGGGCCCUGCGGUCCGCCCUGUUCUCUUGCCCUUGGCUGAGAUCCUCCAGGAGACGAGGCAAAUGUGGACGUGGUCUGGGUCUCCCAGGUUAAUGCCUUUGCCCUUUUGGCUCCAGCUCUGCAGAUUCCUCAAAGGUCUCUGCAAGGCCUGGCUGGCUUUCCUGAUGGGCAAGGGUGAGUGCGAACCCCUCCUCCUCCACCCUCCUCCUUUCUCCAGCUAGGCUGGACCACCUGUGAUGGAAAGUGCAUCUUGGGAAUGAAUGCCGAAGCCAACAUUUUCCUCCGUCCUUCAUGAGGGAGAUUAUUCAUUCGUUCGUUCAUUCAUUCGUUCGUUCAUUCAUUCGUUCAUCCACGUGUCCAUCCAACCAUCCGUCCAUCCAUCCACCCAUCCGUCCAUCCACCAUCCAUCCGUCCAUCACCCACACACCAUCUAUCCUUUCUUACCUACAUUUACCACAUAUUUACUGAACACCAGCAAUGGUGCUGGGAAAGAGUAGUGGAUAAACCAGAACAGGCGGAGGGGAGAGGAGCCGGCCAAAGAAAGAAGUUCCCACUGAGAUCCAUGUAGUGAGGAGGAGGAGCAAGUAUGGUGAUCGAGACUGAGGGAGGUGUGACGUAAAGUGAAUAACGGCCACCUGAAAUGUUGACCUCCGGAUACCCAGGGUUGAGAAUAUGUGACCUUACAAACCAAAGGAGACUUGGCAGAUAUGAUAAAGCUAAGGAUCUGGAGAUGGGCGAUUAUCCUGGAUUAUCUGGGCGAGCCUGCAAAUUAUAAGGCCCUUAAAAGACAGAGGCAGAAGGCUCCGAGUGAUGUGUGUGGUGAAUGGGGUCGGUGGGGAGAGGCAGUUGAUGUGACGACUGAUCAAAGAGGUUGGAGGGAUAUGAAAAGGGACCUUGAGCCAAGGAACUCAAGUGGGUUCUAGAAGUUGUAAAAACCAGGAAAUGGUGUCUCCCCCAGGUGCUUCAGAAGGGACCAGCCCUGCCUCCCCCUUGGUUUUAGACUUCUGAUCUCCGGAGCUACAAGAGAAUAAAUGUUCGUUGUUUUAA